GGCCGGGUAGCUCAAUGGCAGAGCGUCUGACUACACAAGCAUCAUUAUAGUAUUCUUAGUAGUAAGGAGGAAGUAGGUUCGAUUCCUACCCCGGUCA
rfam:Pochonia chlamydosporia 170 chromosome 6, whole genome shotgun sequence.